CACACUAUCAUUAACUGAAUCCAUAGGUUAAUGAGGCGAACCGGGGGAACUGAAACAUCUAAGUACCCCGAGGAAAAGAAAUCAACCGAGAUUCCCCCAGUAGCGGCGAGCGAACGGGGAGGAGCCCAGAGCCUGAAUCAGUGUGUGUGUUAGUGGAAGCGUCUGGAAAGGCGCGCGAUACAGGGUGACAGCCCCGUACACAAAAAUGCACAUACUGUGAGCUCGAUGAGUAGGGCGGGACACGUGGUAUCCUGUCUGAAUAUGGGGGGACCAUCCUCCAAGGCUAAAUACUCCUGACUGACCGAUAGUGAACCAGUACCGUGAGGGAAAGGCGAAAAGAACCCCGGCGAGGGGAGUGAAAAAGAACCUGAAACCGUGUACGUACAAGCAGUGGGAGCCUCUUUAUGGGGUGACUGCGUACCUUUUGUAUAAUGGGUCAGCGACUUAUAUUCUGUAGCAAGGUUAACCGAAUAGGGGAGCCGAAGGGAAACCGAGUCUUAACUGGGCGUUAAGUUGCAGGGUAUAGACCCGAAACCCGGUGAUCUAGCCAUGGGCAGGUUGAAGGUUGGGUAACACUAACUGGAGGACCGAACCGACUAAUGUUGAAAAAUUAGCGGAUGACUUGUGGCUGGGGGUGAAAGGCCAAUCAAACCGGGAGAUAGCUGGUUCUCCCCGAAAGCUAUUUAGGUAGCGCCUCGUGAAUUCAUCUCCGGGGGUAGAGCACUGUUUCGGCAAGGGGGUCAUCCCGACUUACCAACCCGAUGCAAACUGCGAAUACCGGAGAAUGUUAUCACGGGAGACACACGGCGGGUGCUAACGUCCGUCGUGAAGAGGGAAACAACCCAGACCGCCAGCUAAGGUCCCAAAGUCAUGGUUAAGUGGGAAACGAUGUGGGAAGGCCCAGACAGCCAGGAUGUUGGCUUAGAAGCAGCCAUCAUUUAAAGAAAGCGUAAUAGCUCACUGGUCGAGUCGGCCUGCGCGGAAGAUGUAACGGGGCUAAACCAUGCACCGAAGCUGCGGCAGCGACACUAUGUGUUGUUGGGUAGGGGAGCGUUCUGUAAGCCUGUGAAGGUGUACUGUGAGGUAUGCUGGAGGUAUCAGAAGUGCGAAUGCUGACAUAAGUAACGAUAAAGCGGGUGAAAAGCCCGCUCGCCGGAAGACCAAGGGUUCCUGUCCAACGUUAAUCGGGGCAGGGUGAGUCGACCCCUAAGGCGAGGCCGAAAGGCGUAGUCGAUGGGAAACAGGUUAAUAUUCCUGUACUUGGUGUUACUGCGAAGGGGGGACGGAGAAGGCUAUGUUGGCCGGGCGACGGUUGUCCCGGUUUAAGCGUGUAGGCUGGUUUUCCAGGCAAAUCCGGAAAAUCAAGGCUGAGGCGUGAUGACGAGGCACUACGGUGCUGAAGCAACAAAUGCCCUGCUUCCAGGAAAAGCCUCUAAGCAUCAGGUAACAUCAAAUCGUACCCCAAACCGACACAGGUGGUCAGGUAGAGAAUACCAAGGCGCUUGAGAGAACUCGGGUGAAGGAACUAGGCAAAAUGGUGCCGUAACUUCGGGAGAAGGCACGCUGAUAUGUAGGUGAAGCGACUUGCUCGUGGAGCUGAAAUCAGUCGAAGAUACCAGCUGGCUGCAACUGUUUAUUAAAAACACAGCACUGUGCAAACACGAAAGUGGACGUAUACGGUGUGACGCCUGCCCGGUGCCGGAAGGUUAAUUGAUGGGGUUAGCGGUAACGCGAAGCUCUUGAUCGAAGCCCCGGUAAACGGCGGCCGUAACUAUAACGGUCCUAAGGUAGCGAAAUUCCUUGUCGGGUAAGUUCCGACCUGCACGAAUGGCGUAAUGAUGGCCAGGCUGUCUCCACCCGAGACUCAGUGAAAUUGAACUCGCUGUGAAGAUGCAGUGUACCCGCGGCAAGACGGAAAGACCCCGUGAACCUUUACUAUAGCUUGACACUGAACAUUGAGCCUUGAUGUGUAGGAUAGGUGGGAGGCUUUGAAGUGUGGACGCCAGUCUGCAUGGAGCCGGCCUUGAAAUACCACCCUUUAAUGUUUGAUGUUCUAACGUUGGCCCCUGACCGGGGUUGCGGACAGUGUCUGGUGGGUAGUUUGACUGGGGCGGUCUCCUCCUAAAGAGUAACGGAGGAGCACGAAGGUUGGCUAAUCCUGGUCGGACAUCAGGAGGUUAGUGCAAUGGCAUAAGCCAGCUUGACUGCGAGCGUGACGGCGCGAGCAGGUGCGAAAGCAGGUCAUAGUGAUCCGGUGGUUCUGAAUGGAAGGGCCAUCGCUCAACGGAUAAAAGGUACUCCGGGGAUAACAGGCUGAUACCGCCCAAGAGUUCAUAUCGACGGCGGUGUUUGGCACCUCGAUGUCGGCUCAUCACAUCCUGGGGCUGAAGUAGGUCCCAAGGGUAUGGCUGUUCGCCAUUUAAAGUGGUACGCGAGCUGGGUUUAGAACGUCGUGAGACAGUUCGGUCCCUAUCUGCCGUGGGCGCUGGAGAACUGAGGGGGGCUGCUCCUAGUACGAGAGGACCGGAGUGGACGCAUCACUGGUGUUCGGGUUGUCAUGCCAAUGGCACUGCCCGGUAGCUAAAUGCGGAAGAGAUAAGUGCUGAAAGCAUCUAAGCACGAAACUUGCCCCGAGAUGAGUUCUCCCUGACUCCUUGAGAGUCCUGAAGGAACGUUGAAGACGACGACGUUGAUAGGCCGGGUGUGUAAGCGCAGCGAUGCGUUGAGCUAACCGGUACUAAUGAACCGUGAGGCUUAACCUUACAACGCCGAAG
rnacentral:rRNA from 1 species